rnacentral:rRNA from 1 species
AACCUGCCUUUCUCUGCGGGACAACGGUUGGAAACGACCGCUAAUACCGCAUACGCCCUACGGGGGAAAGGUCAGCCGGAGAAAGAGGGGCCCGCGUUAGAUUAGCUAGUUGGUGGGGUAAUGGCCUACCAAGGCAACGAUCUAUAGCUGGUCUGAGAGGAUGAUCAGCCACACUGGGACUGAGACACGGCCCAGACUCCUACGGGAGGCAGCAGUGGGGAAUAUUGGACAAUGGGGGCAACCCUGAUCCAGCAAUGCCGCGUGUGUGAUGAAGGCCCUAGGGUUGUAAAGCACUUUCACUGGUGAAGAUGAUGACGGUAACCAGAGAAGAAGCCCCGGCUAACUUCGUGCCAGCAGCCGCGGUAAUACGAAGGGGGCGAGCGU